rnacentral:rRNA from 1 species
AUGCACGCUGGCGGCGUGCCUAAUACAUGCCAGUCGAGCGAACAGACGAGGAGCUUGCUCCUCUGACGUUAGCGGCGGACGGGUGAGUAACACGUGGAUAACCUACCUAUAAGACUGGGAUAACUUCGGGAAACCGGAGCUAAUACCGGAUAAUAUAUUGAACCGCAUGGUUCAAUAGUGAAAGACGGUUUUGCUGUCACUUAUAGAUGGAUCCGCGCCGCAUUAGCUAGUUGGUAAGGUAACGGCUUACCAAGGCGACGAUGCGUAGCCGACCUGGGAGGGUGAUCGGCCACACUGGAACUGAGACACGGUCCAGACUCCUACGGGAGGCAGCAGUAGGGAAUCUUCCGCAAUGGGCGAAAGCCUGACGGAGCAACGCCGCGUGAGUGAUGAAGGUCUUCGGAUCGUAAAACUCUGUUAUUAGGGAAGAACAAAUGUGUAAGUAACUAUGCACGUCUUGACGGUACCUAAUCAGAAAGCCACGGCUAACUACGUG